rnacentral:rRNA from 1 species
UACGUAGGUGGCGAGCGUUGUCCGGAAUUACUGGGCGUAAAGGGUGUGCAGGCGGAUAUUUAAGUGAGAUGUGAAAGACCCGGGCUUAACCCGGGCAGUGCAUUUCAAACUGGAUAUCUAGAGUGCAGGAGAGGAGAACGGAAUUCCUAGUGUAGCGGUGAAAUGCGUAGAGAUUAGGAAGAACACCAGUGGCGAAGGCGGUUCUCUGGACUGUAACUGACGCUGAGGCACGAAAGCGUGGGUAGCAAACAGGAUUAGAUACCCUGGUAGUCCACGCCGUAAACGAUGAGUACUAGGUGUAGGGGGUAUCGACCCCCCCUGUGCCGCAGUAAACACAAUAAGUACUCCGCCUGGGAAGUACGAUCGCAAGAUUAAA